CAUGCAGGCGGUUAUACAAGUAGGAUGUGAAAGCCUGGGGCUCAACCUCAGAACUGCAUUCUAAACUGUGUGACUAGAGUAUUGCAGGGGGAGACGGAAUUUCAGGUGUAGCGGUGGAAUGCGUAGAUAUCUGAAAGAACACCAAGGGCGAAGGCAGUCUCCUGGGCAAAUACUGACGCUCAUAUGCGAAAGCGUGGGUAGCAAACA
rnacentral:rRNA from 1 species